rnacentral:rRNA from 1 species
UACGUAGGAGGCAAGCGUUGUCCGGAGUUACUGGGCGUAAAGAGCGUGUAGGCGGUUGAGCAAGUCUGCUGUGAAAUCUCCAGGCUCAACUUGGAGGGGUCAGUGGAAACUGCUUAACUUGAGGACGGUAGAGGGGGGUGGAAUUCCCGGUGUAGUGGUGAAAUGCGUAGAGAUCGGGAGGAACACCAGCGGCGAAGGCGGCCCCCUGGGCCGCUCCUGACGCUGAGACGCGAAAGCGUGGGGAGCGAACAGG